UUUUUUUUUUUUUUUUUUGUGACAAAAGCUUCUUAUGAAAAUCAUAAACAGGCUAAUUACUGCCAAAUCUGUCUGUUGAAAAGCUGAAUGGCCUGCUUGCCAGUUGCCGCUACUUAAAACUAAAUGCACAGGCCGAACAAGUCUGAUAAUUCUUUUGAUUCUUUCUUAAGCGAGGGUGCUGUUUCACUAACUCGAGAUUUCUUAAAUGCUUUAUGGUAUGCAUGUAUGUUUUUUAUCAUCACCUUUUGUAAGUUGUGGCAAUCCUAGCUUUACUUCGUGAGCUAGUUUAAGGUGAGACAGAAGUGCUGGACCAAAAUGGAAGAUGGCGCAAAUGCUAGGAUUUGGUCAAAUAAUGAAUUUUUUUUGUCUAAUUCAUACUUCAUUGGACAUAUACUGCAUUAUCUCAUUUAUAGUUGAGAUAAGCAUGACUUGUUCUUUUCAAUUAUUAGCAAAAAAUACUAAAGCAAAUUUGUCUGAGCUGAAAUGUCUCAAUGUAUUGUGGAUGUACAGUAUUAUUGUUUUUGCUCAACUUAUUUUUUCUAUGCAAUUGUGCCUAAAUUUGAUGGUUGGACUCUCUUUCACUCGCCAGUAUUGUUUUUCUCAUAAACUACGCAUUGUUUUCUUCUUGUUUUUUGCCUAUGGGUAAAGGGCUGCAGGGCUGGGUGACGAUGGAUUGGUUAAUGCCACAAAUCAGCAAGUUUGGCAGUAGUUUCUGAACAACAUGAAAUUCCUGUUUUCUUUGACAUUCGUCACCUCUAGUGUUUUAUAUUUCAUUUAUUCCAUUGGUUGAAGUUUUCAAAUUAAUAGUAAAGACUGACAUGUUUGAAAUCGCUCUUUCAAGUGAACAACAUCAUCUGUUCCAGAAUGUGAGAAGUUGUGGAAAGGUUAAUUUGACUUCGUGCUGAUGUUGGUUUCAAGGAACCCCAUGCUUUUGUAGCCAGGUGCGAAAUCUAUUUUUCUUCUUUUUUUCAAUUUUUUUAGAGCAUCAAGUUCUGUCUCACAUUAAGGUCAUAUUAAAUGCGGUUAUGCCAUACUUGAACAUUAAUGAACAGGUCCAUUCUUGUUUAUUUUAACUGCAAAUUGUUAAUUUAGAUAUUUCAAGAAGAGUAAUCACUCUAUAGAUAGUGUCUCUAAACAAUUAUUUAGUUAAUGAUUUUUCUUACUUCACUAUUAAUGCAUAUCUUUUUGAAAAUAUAGGCAUCACCAUUGUUCGUCUCUUAAAUGGUUAUAGUGCAAUACUAAUUAUGGUGAUGAAUAGUUUUGUUGCUAAGAAUUUCCUGGAACUUUUGGGGCCAAUUUCCAGUUAGUUCACUUGCGAUUCUUACAACAAUGCAGCAUGUGUAGCAAAUGUGGACAGAAAAAAAAAAUAGUGGUAAAAAUGGGGUAAUCUUUAGUACAAUAUUUUCAAGUCAAAUUAACUUUAUAUCACAAAAUUGCGGUAGCUUCAAUUGGAUGUCAAUUUUGAGCUUCUUGAUUUUUAUAUGUGUAUAUAUUAGCUUAGUUCAGUUCUACCUUUUGGAAAUUCAUUGUUAACAUUUGAUGAGAUGGUUUGUUCAUGAGCAAUGAUGAAAGCUGAUUAUACCAGUUUGGCAGAAUUCAGGGAAGAUUUAAUUGGAGUUGUAGGCUCUUAAAAGGAUGAAAGAGUUUUUAUGAUCUGAUUUGUUACAUCGAACAUAUGCUGCUGUGUAGAGUUAAACAUUAAAGCCCCUCAUAUGGAGUUCAUAAUUAUGAGCAUAUGCAUUUACAUUCUAUACCUAGUCGCUCAGGAUGAUGCUGUUUUUUUUCACCUUCUAGUACUUUGAAUUAUUGUAGUCAGUGCAGCUACAACCUUAUUUGUCCCCAAAAUUCAGGGAAGUCUUUUUUUUAUUAUUUGUUUGUUUAUUUUUGUGUUAUAUGAGAAAUUAUCGAAAGUCAUGUCUCUAGUGUUCCUUUUAGGGGAUACGAGGGUCAUCUGUUUGGACCACCAAAUCAUUUAGUUUACCGCGUACCAGUUGGUUUCAGAUUUGCAAAUCAAUUCAAUGCAAGCAGUCUUUUGUGUCAAUUCAUCAAAGUUUGUGUGAAAAUUAGAUGACAUGAUCCAUAGACGUCCCCUCUUCUAAUUAUUGCUGCUCCUCCUUUGCACAUCUUCCUCUUUGAAGGUUAAUCAAUUUGUACGUCCUCUCUGUACCUCCUUUCUUCUCUUUGCCCCCUCCUCCCCAUCCCUUUUCCCCUCUACUGAUUUAUUCAAAAUCUAUCUCAUUGAUAUCAAUUAUUCCAUGACGUGGGCAGGGAAUUCCUUGCUUUUUUCUUUCUUUAUCAUCAUUUAUUUCUUUGUUUUUUCUAGUUAAUUUCGUAGUCUCUAGAGAAAGAAAGAGAGACAGAGUUAACAAGAAGUUGCAGCUAGCUACAGCCUGAGCAGCUACGUCUUUCUUUCUCAUUGAUGCUCUAGUGUGGUUGAAGUUAUAAACUUACAACUAAGGCCAAAGCUGCCACAAAUGGGAAAUAUAAGGUUGUAAGUAAUGGUAUUAGCACCUUCUAUGCACGGAUGCAUCAUAUCCUGAUCACCCGCAAGAAAACACGUUCCUGUAUGCACUUGAUGCCUGUAAAUGGACUAAUUUGUGGUGAAAUCUUUUUUUUUUUU
rnacentral:misc_RNA from 1 species